rnacentral:rRNA from 1 species
AUUACCCAAUCCUGACACAGGGAGGUAGUGACAAGAAAUAACAAUACGGGGCUUAACGUCUUGUAAUUGGAAUGAUGGGAAUCUAAACCUCUUCCAGAGUAUCAAUUGGAGGGCAAGUCUGGUGCCAGCAGCCGCGGUAAUUCCAGCUCCAAUAGCGUAUAUUAAAAUUGUUGCAGUUAAAAAGCUCGUAGUUGAAUUUCUGCCGCCCCGCCUCUGCCCCUCGACGGGCGUUUGCGCCGCGGCUUUUUCGGAUUAUGCUUGCAUUUUCCGAGUGUUACUUUGAGAAAAUUAGAGUGCUCAAAGCAGGCUUUUGCCUUGAAUAGUUUAGCAUGGAAUAAUAGAGUAGGACUUUGGUUCUAUUUUGUUGGUUUUAGGUACCAAAGUAAUGGUUAAUAGGAACAGUUGGGGGCAUUCGUAUUUAA